GGGAAUACUAGUGCGGGACUCGCGGCCACCUCCCCCCUUGUCUCUAUACACCUGUUGCUUUGGCGGGCCCACCGGGGCCACCUGGUCGCCGGGGGACGCACGUCUCCGGGCCCGCGCCCGCCGAAGCGCUCUGUGAACCCUGAUGAAGAUGGGCUGUCUGAGUACUGUGAAAAUUGUCAAAACUUUCAACAAUGGAUCUCUUGGUUCCGGCAUCGAUGAAGAACGCAGCGAAAUGCGAUAAGUAAUGUGAAUUGCAGAAUUCCGUGAAUCAUCGAAUCUUUGAACGCACAUUGCGCCCCCUGGCAUUCCGGGGGGCAUGCCUGUCCGAGCGUCAUUUCUGCCCUCAAGCACGGCUUGUGUGUUGGGUGUGGUCCCCCCGGGGACCUGCCCGAAAGGCAGCGGCGACGUCCGUCUGGUCCUCGAGCGUAUGGGGCUGUCACUCGCUCGGGAAGGACCUGCGGGGGUUGGUCACCACCAUGUUUUUACCACGGUUGACCUCGGAUCAGGUAGGAGUUACCCGCUGAACUUAAGCAUAUAAAAACGGGGGGAAAAAAAUAAAUAUUAAUC
rnacentral:misc_RNA from 1 species